GAUGAACGCUGGCGGCGUGCCUAAUACAUGCAAGUCGAGCGAACGGACGAGAAGCUUGCUUCUCUGAUGUUAGCGGCGGACGGGUGAGUAACACGUGUAUAACCUACCUAUAAGACUGGGAUAACUUCGGGAAACCGGAGCUAAUACCGGAUAAUAUUUUGAACCGCAUGGGUCAAAAGUGAAAGACGGUCGUGCUGUCACUUAUAGAUGGAUCCGCGCUGCAUUAGCUAGUUGGUAAGGUAACGGCUUACCAAGGCAACGAUGCAUAGGCGACCUGAGAGGGUGAUCGGCCACACUGGAACUGAGACACGGUCCAGACUCCUACGGGAGGCAGCAGUAGGGAAUCUUCCGCAAUGGGCGAGAGCCUGACGGAGCAACGCCGCGUGAGUUAUGAAGGUCUUCGGAUCGUAAAACUCUGUUAUUAGUGAAGAACAUAUGUGUAAGUAACUGUGCACAUCUUGACGGUACCUAAUCAGAAAGCCACGGCUAACUACGUG
rnacentral:rRNA from 1 species